UACGUAGGCGGUUAUUCAAGUCAGAGGUGAAAGCCCGGGGCUCAACCCCGGAACUGCCUUUGAAACUAGAUAACUAGAGUCUUGGAGAGGUUAGUGGAAUUCCGAGUGUAGAGGUGAAAUUCGUAGAUAUUCGGAAGAACACCAGUGGCGAAGGCGACUAACUGGACAAGUACUGACGCUGAGGUACGAAAGCGUGGGGAGCAAACA
rnacentral:rRNA from 1 species